rnacentral:rRNA from 1 species
GAAGCGGCAACAGCUCAAAUUUGAAAUCUGGCGCAGGCCCGAGUUGUAAUUUGUAGAGGAUGCUUCUAGGCAGCGGCCGUUCUAAGUUCCUUGGAACAGGACGUCAUAGAGGGUGAGAAUCCCGUAUGUGACCGGCACGCACCUUGUACGUAGCUCCUUCGACGAGUCGAGUUGUUUGGGAAUGCAGCUCUAAAUGGGAGGUAAAUUUCUUCUAAAGCUAAAUACCGGCUGGAGACCGAUAGCGCACAAGUAGAGUGAUCGAAAGAUGAAAAGCACUUUGGAAAGAGAGUUAAAAAGCACGUGAAAUUGUUGAAAGGGAAGCGCCUGCAACCAGACUUCGCGGCAGUGUUCCGCCGGUCUUCUGACCGGUCUAUUCUCUGUCGCGAGGCCAUCAUCGUCUGGGGCCGCCGGAUAAGACUGGAGGAAUGUAGCUCCCCUCGGGGAGUGUUAUAGCUUCCAGUGAUGCGGCGUGUCUCGGGCGAGGUCCGCGCUUCGGCAAGGAUGAUGGCGUAAUGGUUGUCGGCGGCCCGUCUUGAAACACGGACCAAGGAGUCUAACAUCUAUGCGAGUGUUCGGGUGUCAAACCCCUACGCGUAAUGAAAGUGAACGGAGGUGGGAACUUUUUGUGCACCAUCGACCGAUCCUGAUGUCCUCGGAUGGAUUUGAGUAAGAGCAUAGCUGUUGGGACCCGAAAGAUGGUGAACUAUGCCUGAAUAGGGUGAAGCCAGAGGAAACUCUGGUGGA